UACGAAGGGGGCUAGCGUUGCUCGGAAUCACUGGGCGUAAAGCGCACGCAGGCGGAUCUUUAAGUCAGGGGUGAAAUCCUGGAGCUCAACUCCAGAACUGCCUUUGAUACUGGGGAUCUCGAGUCCGGAAGAGGUGAGUGGAACUCCGAGUGUAGAGGUGAAAUUCGUAGAUAUUCGGAAGAACACCAGUGGCGAAGGCGGCUCACUGGUCCGGUACUGACGCUGAGGUGCGAAAGCGUGGGGAGCAAACAGG
rnacentral:rRNA from 1 species